AGUGAACGCUGGCGGUAGGCCUAACACAUGCAAGUCGAACGGCGGCACAGUAAGAGCUUGCUCUUACGGGUGGCGAGUGGCGGACGGGUGAGGAAUACAUCGGAAUCUACUUUUUCGUGGGGAAUAACGUAGGGAAACUUACGCUAAUACCGCAUACGACCUACGGGUGAAAGCAGGGGAUCUUCGGACCUUGCGCGAUUGAAUGAGCCGAUGUCGGAUUAGCUAGUUGGCGGGGUAAAGGCCCACCAAGGCGACGAUCCGUAGCUGGUCUGAGAGGAUGAUCAGCCACACUGGAACUGAGACACGGUCCAGACUCCUACGGGAGGCAGCAGUGGGGAAUAUUGGACAAUGGGCGCAAGCCUGAUCCAGCCAUACCGCGUGAGUGAAGAAGGCCUUCGGGUUGUAAAGCCCUUUUGUUGGGAAAGAAAAGCAGCAGGUUAAUACCCCGCUGUUCUGACGGUACCCAAAGAAUAAGCACCGGCUAACUUCGUG
rnacentral:rRNA from 1 species